UUAUGACCUGGGCUACAAACGUGAUACAAUGGCUGUUACAAAGGGUAGCUAAAGCGUAAGCUUCUGGCGAAUCUCAAAAAAGCAGUCUCAGUUCGGAUUGAAGUCUGCAACUCGACUUCAUGAAGUUGGAAUCGCUAGUAAUCGCGAAUCAGCAUGUCGCGGUGAAUACGUUCUCGGGGUUUGUACACACCGCCCGUCAAACCACGAAAGUUGGCAAUACCCAAAGCCGGUGGCCUAACUUGAGCAAUCAAGAAGGAGCCGUCUAAGGUAGGGUUGAUGAUUGGGGUUAAGUCGUAACAAGGUAUCCCUACCGGAAGGUGGGGAUGGAUCACCUCCUUU
rnacentral:rRNA from 1 species